GCCCACGUAGCUCAGGGGUAGAGCAGCGCUUUCGUAAAGCGCGGGUCGGGGGUUCAAAUCCCUCCGUGGGCU
rnacentral:tRNA from 1 species